rnacentral:lncRNA from 1 species
AGAAAUAAAAUCAGAUACAUGAAAGAAUGAAAAUACAGCAUAAAGAAAUAAAGAACAUGACCGUAAAGAGACAAUGGAAGAAGAAAUUUACAAGAAAUUUAUAUAGGUUUGGUCAAACCACUUAACUUACUCUUGUCCCAAAGAAUUUCUUCUGGUGAGUUUCCAAUUAACGAAAUGUGAGUUUUUCAUGGGUUAUGUUUGUUGGGUCAUCAUGAGGAGUAUCCACAUUGGGUCAAGAGCAACACACACACA